rnacentral:misc_RNA from 1 species
UACACUGCCUCAAGUUGUUCAGUGAUAGAUGAUUUAUCAUUGCAAAUUAGUAAUCUUCUUGAGUUUCUAUCUGCCUUAGACCUACUUUUUUUGCGAUUUUUUUUUUCAAUGGAGGCUUAAUGGGGCCAGAUAAUAACUGAUGUACUAUUCGGUGGGUGGUAGACCUCUCUCUUUCUCAUCAUAAAAGGGAAUUAACUCAGAAUAUGUUGAUAGUACACUCCCUACUUUUUUGUGAUAUUUUAGUUUAACCAUGAAACUUAAUAAGAUGGUGUAGUUGUUUUCUCAUAAACUCUUUCCUGAAAAAUCCUAAAGUCAAUCGAAGCACCUGUCUUGAUUGGCUUUUCCUCAACUUAAACGGUCCCUAUCUUUGUCCUUCUCAGGUUAGAUUUUCUAAUUAAGCUAAAUACCUUUCCGAAUAAUAUUGGUUCAUAACUACCAUGAGUUACAGAUGUUGAUAUUCUUUCUAGUAAAAAUUUAAUCUGUG